AUAACAUGGACUGGGGCAGAUUAUUUAACAGCAUACCCAGCAUUGUGUCUUCUCUGAUGGAACAAUUUGUAACUCAUAGGAUAAGACUUGAAGAAUGUCACGGGCAAAUGCGGGAAGCAGAGAUCAUUUGGAGACACCAGGUAACCUGCCUUCCUCCUGACACACCGAGUCCUCAGCACCUGAUGCAGACAGUUAUUGUGGCCCUGAGAACCCCUAGCCAUGGGGUGUUUCUUGAUGUGUUGACUUUUUCAGGUCACUCUUGCCGAGAAGAAGGCCCAAGACAGCUCGCUCAGGGCUCAGGAGCUGGAGAGGGAAAUCUCUGAAUUGAGAAGGGAAAACUCUGACCUGAGAAGGGAAAACUCUGACCUGAGAAGGGAAAAAUCCUCAGAGCUGAGAAGGGAAGUUGCCCACCUGAAACAGAGAUUGGAUGCAAUCUGCAGAUGGAGGCAGGCAGAGGAAUACAUGAGGCAGGAGCCCACCCCAGGAGGACCGUACAGGCUGCACCCUCCCCUGAGAG